UGACAAGAAAUAACAAUACGGGGCUUAAUAGUCUUGUAAUUGGAAUGAUGGGAAUUUAAACCUCUUCCAGAGUAUCAAUUGGAGGGCAAGUCUGGUGCCAGCAGCCGCGGUAAUUCCAGCUCCAAUAGCGUAUAUUAAAAUUGUUGCAGUUAAAAAGCUCGUAGUUGAAUUUCUGCUGCAUUUCAUUUCUCUUUCUGAGUUUGUUUUUGCGGCUUAUUUCGGUUUGAUUUUUUCUUUCCGGAUGAUUACUUUGAGAAAAUUAGAGUGCUCAAAGCAGGCUUUUGCCUUGAAUAGUUUAGCAUGGAAUAAUAAAGUAGGACUUUGGUUCUAUUUUGUUGGUUUUAGGUACCAAAGUAAUGGUUAAUAGGAACAGUUGGGGGCAUUCGUAUUUAACUGUCAGAGGUGAAAUUCUUAG
rnacentral:rRNA from 1 species